CCUGGGCUUCCUAGCUGGACACACUGUGAGAUAGCAGAUGGUAUCAUCUGCUAUCCCAAUAUUUUGUGAUUUUCUUUCUCCUCACAGGAAUGUGAUCUUCCUACUCUGUCUUGUUACAGGAAUUUGUGGAGACUGAGCAGGAAAUUCUGAGGGCAAUGGCAAAUUUAAUAGCAAAAGUUCAGCACAGAGAGCAAAAGGUUGACAGUAUUAGCAACAGGCUUCAAAGUAACUUGGACGGUCUGGAUUCUUUACUAGAAAGUCAAUCUGCCAUUAAUCCCUGAUACUUCCAGAAGCUAUCAGAAUGCACAAGGGAUUCCCAGUGAUGGCUGACAGACACCAGAAUGUUGUGCCAGAAAACCGGUUCUAUUUUCCUGCUCUACUCACAGAGAUGCAUUGUGAAAUAAAUAAGGUACAAACAAAAUGGAUAUGACAAGGUCAAUCCCAGCAGCGUAUUUACAGUGACAUCACUCACCUGAACCAUACAUACAGUUCAUGCAGUAAGAGAGCAAAUGCAGCUCUUUCCAAGGAUAUGUUUAUACAGUAUUGCAUUGUGCUGUGCUGAGAUACUCAAGGUCAUAGUGAAGAAGCUAGCUUAGGUAUUGGAAACAGAGUAGCCACAUUAGUGUGGCAGCCUGCCCAGGCCACUUAGACCUGCUUCCCAGGCUGAAGUAACCUACCCUGGGCAGAGCACCACACAGCUGCCAGGAUCUGAGCUAACUUGGUUACCUCUGCACAGCACAACGUUUUGCUAUGUAGACAUAGCUUAUGAGUCCAUAGUCUCUCAGUCUUUCUGAGGUGUUGUGAGAAGUGUCUGGUUCAGUAACAACCUGACUAUACACCAAAGACCCAACGGAUGAACGAGGCUCUGAGGUUGCUUAAUCCAGGUGAUCAGGACAG
rnacentral:lncRNA from 1 species